GUGCUUACCAUGCAAGUCGCACGGGCAGCAAUGUCAGUGGCGGACGGGUGAGUAACGCGUAGGAACGUGUCCUGAGGUGGGGGACAACCCCGGGAAACUGGGGCUAAUACCGCAUAUGGGCUGAGGCCCAAAGCCGAGAGGCGCCUUUGGAGCGGCCUGCGUCCGAUUAGGUAGUUGGUGGGGUAAAGGCCUACCAAGCCUGCGAUCGGUAGCUGGUCUGAGAGGACGACCAGCCACACUGGGACUGAGACACGGCCCAGACUCCUACGGGAGGCAGCAGUGGGGAAUAUUGGACAAUGGGCGAAAGCCUGAUCCAGCAAUGCCGCGUGGGUGAAGAAGGUCUUCGGAUCGUAAAGCCCUUUCGACGGGGACGAUGAUGACGGUACCCGUAGAAGAAGCCCCGGCUAACUUCGUGCCAGCAGCGCGGGGGU
rnacentral:rRNA from 1 species